rnacentral:rRNA from 1 species
AUACGUAGGGGGCAAGCGUUGUCCGGAAUUACUGGGCGUAAAGGGUGCGUAGGCGGAUAUGCAAGUCCGAUGUGAAAUGCUUCGGCUUAACCGGGGAGUUGCAUUGGAAACUGUAUAUCUAGAGUGCAGGAGAGGGAAGCGGAAUUCCUAGUGUAGCGGUGAAAUGCGUAGAUAUUAGGAGGAACACCAGUGGCGAAGGCGGCUUCCUGGACUGCAACUGACGCUGAGGCACGAAAGCUGGGUUAGCGAACAGGAUUAGAUACCCUGGUAGUCCCAGCCGUAAACGAUGGGUACUAGGUGUUGUCACUUCAUUGUGGCAGUGCCGGAGUUAACGCAAUAAGUACCCCGCCUGGGGAGUACGGCCGCAAGGCUGAA